rnacentral:tRNA from 1 species
CAUGGGAUGGUCUAGAUUAUGAUCUUAGCUUUGGGACCUAAGGAAGGAAGUUAAAAUCUUUCUCCUAUGA